CUAACCUAUGUUAAAUAUCUUAAUUAAGUAUGUUUUAAAUAAUUAUAAUACCCUUACUUGUUAAGAAAAUAAAAAAUAAAACAAUAUAUUUUCUACCCUACCAUUAUUUCCAUUAUGAGGCUACAGGGUGUGGUAUAAAUCUCACUAAUGGUGCAAACCAUCCCGAAACUUAACUGACUACCACCAAACAUAGACACCGUAGAAAGAAACCGUAAGAAGAGCUUGCUCAAAGACCAUCGAGAGGUGGACAUCCACGGAGGAAUUCUCAUUAUCACGAGCGUGGCUUGACGUUCCCAAAUAUCCCAACAUCGGUACCGACCAAGUGGCGACCAUUUUUUGGAAGCGUAUUCAUGAAAAGUUUUUCGUUGCUACAGGCCACCACGGUGAAUACAGUAGUCAAGAUUUAUUUUCGAGGAAGUGGAAGUUGAUUCAGACCAAAAUAAGCAAUUUAACAACAUUUACAACCGUCUUAUGAAAAAUCGUAAUAGAGCAAAUGGUUCAAGCGAUACCGAUGUCACUACGGAAGCAUACAAACUACUUAAAGCCCAGUACCAUAGCCUUUUUCACAUGCAUAAUUCUUGGGAGCUACUGUGAAAAUCACCAAAGUGGUAAUCAAAUGGUAGCCCGUUUCAAAACUCUAUAUUGAUAUAUUUUGACCUAGGAUGAGCUUUGAUUUUUAACACAAAUUUUGAUAAAAUGUCAAACUUUUGAAAUCAUUAGUCAAAAUGGCCAAUAUGGUUUGCAA